rnacentral:rRNA from 1 species
CGCUAGCGGCAGGCCUAAUACAUGCAAGUCGAACGGUAAGUAUGAUAGCAAUAUUGUACCAAGAGUGACGUACGGGUGCGUAACACGUAUGCAACCUACCCUUUACAGAUGGAUAGCUCGGGGAAACUCGAAUUAACCCGUCAUAAUAUAAUUUAGUGGCAUCAUUGAAUUAUUAAAACUGAGGUGGUAAAGGAUGGGCAUGCGUCUGAUUAGUUAGUUGGCGGGGUAACGGCCCACCAAGACGAUGAUCAGUAGGGGAACUGAGAGGUUGAUCCCCCACACUGGCACUGAGAUACGGGCCAGACUCCUACGGGAGGCAGCAGUAGGGAAUAUUGGUCAAUGGAUGGAAGUCUGAACCAGCCAUGCCGCGUGCAGGAAGAAGGCCUUCUGGGUUGUAAACUGCUUUUGCCAGGGGAUAAAAAUACCAUGCGUGGUAAAUUGAAGGUACCUGGUGAAUAAGCCACGGCUAACUACGUGCCAGCAGCCGCGGUAAUACGUAGGUGGCAAGCGUUGUCCGGAUUUAUUGGGUUUAAAGGGUGCGUAGGCUGCGCCGUAAGUCAGAUGUGAAAGCUCAGGGCUCAACCCUGAAAUUGCAUCCGAUACUGCGGUGCUUGAGAAAUGAAGGGGAGUCUAGAAUUUUCGGUGUAGCAGUGAAAUGCGUAGAUAUCGAAAGGAAUACCAAAGGCGAAGGCAGGACUCUGGGCAUUUUCUGACGCUGA